CAUGUGGUUGAUGUUUGAUUCCUGUUCUUUAGGGAAGAUACACGGGACUCAACAGGUGGGUCAACUUGGUAGACAGUGGAGGGCUGCAGCCAGGAGGGAGGACUGGAACCAGAGCCCAGCCAGGGUAAAUGCUUCUUGCCAGGAGAAGGAGGGCAGCUGCUGUGAGUCCUGCCCAGGCAGGUGGUGCCUCUGUGAAGCCUCUGAGGCCUCCUUCCCUCUGACUGGGCUGUGGCUUCUCUGUAUGUCCACUGGCCCCUGCUUCGCUCCAUCACAGCACUUACUGCUCUGAAUUGAAACUCUCCACGUCUCUCUUUCUAAUGACUGUUGAAUGAGUGUUGAGGUGCAUGGACCAACUGUACCUUUGGGCUGGUCUCUUCACCUGCCCCACCCUGUGAGGGUGGAGUGUAAGGAGACCAUCAAACGACCU
rnacentral:lncRNA from 1 species